rnacentral:rRNA from 1 species
GGCUACUACAUCCAAGGAAGGCAGCAGGCGCGCAAAUUACCCAAUCCCGACUCGGGGAGGUAGUGACAAUAAAUACUGAUACAGGGCUCUUUUGGGUCUUGUAAUUGGAAUGAGUACAAUUUAAUUCCCUUAACGAGGAACAAUUGGAGGGCAAGUCUGGUGCCAGCAGCCGCGGUAAUUCCAGCUCCAAUAGCGUAUAUUAAAGUUGUUGCAGUUAAAAAGCUCGUAGUUGAACCUUGGGCCUGGCUGGCCGGUCCGCCUCACCGCGUGCACUGGUCCGGCCGGGUCUUUCCCUCUGGGGAGCCGCAUGCCCUUCGCUGGGCGUGUCGGGGAACCAGGACAUUUACUUUGAAAAAAUUAGAGUGUUCAAAGCAGGCUUAUGCUCGAAUACAUUAGCAUGGAAUAAUAGAAUAGGACGUGUGGUUCUAUUUUGUUGGUUUCUAGGACCGCCGUAAUGAUUAAUAGGGACAGUCGGGGGCAUCAGU